GAUGAACGCUGGCGGCGUGCUUAACACAUGCAAGUCGAACGGAGUACCCGAGAAUGAAGCUUCGGCAGAUUUCUUGGACUACUUAGUGGCGGACGGGUGAGUAACGCGUGAGCAAUCUGCCCUUAAGAGGGGGACAACAGUUGGAAACGCCGACUAAUACCCCAUAGUAUCAGAUUUAGGCAUCUUUAUCUGAUUAAAGAAUUUCGGAAACGGAUAGGCUCGCGUGACAUUAGCUAGAUGGCGGGGUAACGGCCCACCAUGGCUACGAUGUCUAGGGGUUCUGAGAGGAAGGUCCCCCACACUGGAACUGAGACACGGUCCAGACUCCUACGGGAGGCAGCAGUGGGGAAUAUUGGGCAAUGGGGGAAACCCUGACCCAGCAACGCCGCGUGAAGGAAGAAGGCCUUCGGGUUGUAAACUUCUUUUAGCAGGGACGAAGAACGUGACGGUACCUGCAGAAAAAGCAACGGCUAACUACGUG
rnacentral:rRNA from 1 species